rnacentral:lncRNA from 1 species
CUCCCACCAGGCUCCUUCACCAACGUUGGGGAUUACAAUUCAACAGGAGAUCUGGGCAGGGACACAAACCCAAACUAUGUCACCUGGGCACGGGGCAGCAGCUUGGAUCUCCCAGGAGUGGACCCUGAGACAGGAAGGCCCGUGCUGGAGCCCAGAAUCUCAGAGUCCCUGGCACUUGAAAGAAGCUGGGGCUAAUUACAAGGAGAACAAAUGGGGCCUGUGGAGGCAGAAGGACCUGGGCUCAGGUUGCAGCUCUAUGCUAAGCUCCCAAUACGUGUUAUGUCUUCAGCAUUCCCAGCCAGGCUAUACACAGCUGGUACCCUUCAGUGAAGAUGACCCCAGCCCAGGCGUAAAUCCUUAUCACUCUCAGCCAAGUGUGGUGCAACAGUCCAUAAUUAGUUUGCUCAAAGGCAUGGAGAGUAACUCUGGCCCAGAGGAUGUCUGCUAGGCGGUGAUUAGAAAGGUCUCCUCACUCUGGACGCCACCUCCAGUAGGACAGAUUGGUUUCCAGCAGGCACAGUCUCCCACCGAUGAUCAAAGAACCAGAUAAAUCACAAAACCAUAUUUUUUGAGACAAUAGGGAGCUGGAGAAGCAAUGAGAACAAGAUAAACUAAAAUUCCAGAGUCAAGAGACCGUUCAGAGCUGACCUGAAAAUCCGCAGCCCCUUUGCUCUGAGGCAGUUGCUGACUUGAGGCUGGCUGAGAAUGUGGCUCUGCACAAGGCAGAGGCUGCUGCUAAGGACAGAGAAAAAGGCAACACUUUUGGUGGCUAUGCAGGCCCAAGCAACCGAAUUGGAGAGUCAAAAGGCCUCAAACGUAUGGUUGGUGUUCGCCAUCAUCCUGAAGCAGCUGGAUUGAUAGAACAGUGGAAUGGGUGACAACUAGGUGAUAAUACUUUGCUGGGGCAAAGUUCUCCAGAACACUAUGCAUGCUCUGAAUCAGCCUCCAGUAUAUGACACUGUUUCUCCCAUAGCCAGGAUUCACGGGUCUAGAAAUCAAGGGGUGGAAG